AUUGAACGCUGGCGGCAGGCCUAACACAUGCAAGUCGAACGAGUGGCGGACGGGUGAGUAAUGUCUGGGAAACUGCCUGAUGGGGGGGGAUCACUACUGGAAACGGUAGCUAAUACCGCAUACCAUCGGAUGUGCCCAGAUGGGAUGAGCUAGUGGGGGGGGUAAUGGCUAACCAAGGCGACGAUCCCUAGCUGGUCUGAGAGGAUGACCAGCCACACUGGAACUGGGACACGGUCCAGACUCCUACGGGAGGCAGCGGUGGGGAAUAUUGCACAAUGGGCGCAAGCCUGAUGCAGCCAGGCCGCGUGUAUGAAGAGGGCCUUCGGGUGGUAAAGUACUUUCAGCAGGGAGGCGUUACCCGCAGAAGAAGCACCGGCUAACUCCGUGCCAGCAGCCGCGGUAAUUC
rnacentral:rRNA from 1 species